CUGCCGGAGAAGAACAACCUGACGUCGCCGCGGCCUAUCACGGAUCUUGGCGUCAGACGCGUAUUGAAGAAGGACCACAGCCUUGCGUCGCUUAAAAUACCGCCAAUGGAUGAGAAGAUAUUGAGCUUGAUGGCGAAGCGAGGCGAGUUUGAGAAGACCUACUGGAAGCAGCGUCUGCGAAACUCACUGGCCUGGGAUACGGAACAUCUGGAAAGCGAGAAACUGAAACUGCAGAAAGACCAGAACCAUCGGGCCAAUAUGGAAAUAAUGAGGGAAGAGGAUAGGCAAAUGGU